rnacentral:rRNA from 1 species
GAUGAACGCUGGCGGCAGGCCUAAAACAUGCAAGUCGAACGAUGUAGCAAUACAUAGUGGCGCACGGGUGCGUAUCGCGUGGGAAUAUGCCCUUCACUACGGAAUAACGUCGGGAAACUGACGCUAAUACCGUAUAAUGACUCCGGUCCAAAGAUUUAUCGGUGAAGGAUUAGCCCGCGUCUGAUUAGGUAGUUGGUGAGGUAACGGCUCACCAAGCCGACGAUCAGUAGCUGGUCUGAGAGGAUGAUCAGCCACACUGGAACUGAGACACGGUCCAGACUCCUACGGGAGGCAGCAGUUAGGAAUAUUGGACAAUGGGGGAAACCCUGAUCCAGCCAUGCCGCGUGAGUGAAGAAGGCCUUAGGGUUGUAAAGCUCUUUCGUCUGUGAAGAUAAUGACAGUAGCAGAAGAAGAAGCCCCGGCUAAAUUCGUGCCAGCCGCCGCAGUAA